ACGCUCGACACCUACGGGAGCAGCAGUGGGAAUAUUGCACAAUGGGGGAAACCCUGAUGCAGCGACGCCGCGUGAGUGAAGAAGUAUUUCGGUAUGUAAAGCUCUAUCAGCAGGGAAGAAAAUGACGGUACCUGACUAAGAAGCCCCGGCUAACUACGUGCCAACAGCCGCGGUAAUCUGAGCGGGCUGGCAAGGC
rnacentral:rRNA from 1 species